rnacentral:lncRNA from 1 species
GCCGUCUGUAUGUUGAAUUAGGGCUCGUUCUCUUGCGCAACACGUCACCAGUCGGAAACUGGGGGUUUGCUUCUGUGAUUUAUUUCAUUAUUGUGCUGGUAAAAGCUGAUGAAGAGACUAGCAGCUCGCUGCUUUGCCGGCUUGUUAAUUUUAUCCCCACUAACUGUGAUUUCCGAUAGCCGGUCUGCUGAUAGUGGUAAGGCCAUCGAAGACGGAAAUUUGGAAGAAAUGGAAGAGGAGGUACGGCUGAAGAAGAGGAAAAGACGAAGAAACGUGGAUAAAGAUCCCGUGAAGGAAGAUGUGGAAAAAGCAAAGAAAAGAAGAGGCCGCCCCCCAGCUGAGAAGUUGUCACCAAAUCCCCCCAAACUGACGAAGCAGAUGAAC